AGUAAACGCUGGCGGUAGGCCUAACACAUGCAAGUCGAACGGCAGCACAGUAAGAGCUUGCUCUUACGGGUGGCGAGUGGCGGACGGGUGAGGAAUACAUCGGAAUCUACUUUUUCGUGGGGGAUAACGUAGGGAAACUUACGCUAAUACCGCAUACGACCUACGGGUGAAAGCAGGGGAUCUUCGGACCUUGCGCGAUUGAAUGAGCCGAUGUCGGAUUAGCUAGUUGGCGGGGUAAAGGCCCACCAAGGCGACGAUCCGUAGCUGGUCUGAGAGGAUGAUCAGCCACACUGGAACUGAGACACGGUCCAGACUCCUACGGGAGGCAGCAGUGGGGAAUAUUGGACAAUGGGCGCAAGCCUGAUCCAGCCAUACCGCGUGGGUGAAGAAGGCCUUCGGGUUGUAAAGCCCUUUUGUUGGGAAAGAAAAGCAGCAGGUUAAAACCCCGCUGUUCUGACGGUACCCAAAGAAUAAGCACCGGCUAACUUCGUG
rnacentral:rRNA from 1 species